rnacentral:lncRNA from 1 species
AUUGUGACGGUCAACGAAGGAGUAGCCCGACGAUGGAGGGGAGAGUUGUGGAUUUCAGGUCUUCUUAUGGAGAGAGAAGCAGCAGGGUUUGGAAAUGGAUAUUUCGGGUCUCACUCGGCCAGUUUUCAUUUUUUUAUGUAUGUAUUUCUUAUGCCCUUUUUGCUUUAUUUUUUUUUAUUUUAUUUCAUGUGUCAUGUCAGCAAUUUUCAAACCCCUGUUUUUUAACCGAACCAUUCUACACGAACAAUUUUUUUCACAACACACACAUGCAAGUGGGUGGUGUCCAUGAUUAAAAUAAUUUUGGACCCCACCUUUGUGAGGGAGUGUGAAAAUUGAUGUAAAAAAAAUGAUGUACAAAUAGCAUUUUUGUUUUUAACAUGUUUUUGUCCUUGGCUGAG